AGAAAGGCUGGGAAGAAGAGGAGUACAUUUUCUGCACCUUCAGAGAGGACUGAUCACAGGCUGGAAGUCGGUCCGGGAAUGCAAAAAUGGAAGGUAGCUUCGGAGCCGGAAUGGUGAAAUAAGAGUAGCUGUUCCCGGGGAGAGACCUCGUUAAGAACGAAGAGAUGCUGUUUGGAGGAUCGUUCUGGAUCCGGACAGUGAAUAAAGGUGGUAACGCGGUGAUUCGCCCUUUGC
rnacentral:ncRNA from 1 species